AACGAACGCUGGCGGCGCGCUUAACACAUGCAAGUCGAACGAGAAGGCGUAGCAAUACGCUUGUACAGUGGCGAACGGGUGAGUAAUACGUGGGCGACCUACCCUCGAGUGGGGAAUAACCCGCCGAAAGGCGGGCUAAUGCCGCGUACGCUUCCAUCUUUAUGGAGGUGGAAGGAAAGCCGUGCCGUGGGCACGGCGCUCAAGGAUGGGCUCACGUCCUAUCAGCUUGNGGUAGGGUAACGGCCUACCAAGGCUCCGACGGGUAGCUGGUCUGAGAGGACGAUCAGCCACACUGGCACUGCGACACGGGCCAGACUCCUACGGGAGGCAGCAGUGAGGAAUAUUGCGCAAUGGGCGAAAGCCUGACGCAGCGACGCCGCGUGGGGGA
rnacentral:rRNA from 1 species